AUUGAACGCUGGCGGCAUGCUUUACACAUGCGAGUCGAACGGUAACAGCACUUCGGUGGCUGACGAGUGGCGCACGGGUGAGUAAUACAUCGGAACGUGCCUAGUAGUGGGGGAUAACUACUCGAAAGAGUAGCUAAUACCGCAUGAGAUCUAAGGAUGAAAGCAGGGGACCUUCGGGCCUUGCGCUACUAGAGCGGCUGAUGGCAGAUCAGGUAGUUGGUGGGAUAAAAGCUUACCAAGCCGACGAUCUGUAGCUGGUCUGAGAGGACGACCAGCCACACUGGGACUGAGACACGGCCCAGACUCCUACGGGAGGCAGCAGUGGGGAAUUUUGGACAAUGGGCGCAAGCCUGAUCCAGCAAUGCCGCGUGCAGGAUGAAGGCCUUCGGGUUGUAAACUGCUUUUGUACGGAACGAAAAGCCCUCUUCUAAUACAGGAGGGUCAUGACGGUACCGUAAGAAUAAGCACCGGCUAACUACGUG
rnacentral:rRNA from 1 species